rnacentral:rRNA from 1 species
AUUGAACGCUGGCGGCAUGCCUUACACAUGCAAGUCGAACGGUAACAGGUUAAGCUGACGAGUGGCGAACGGGUGAGUAAUAUAUCGGAACGUGCCCAGUCGUGGGGGAUAACUGCUCGAAAGAGCAGCUAAUACCGCAUACGACCUGAGGGUGAAAGCGGGGGAUCGCAAGACCUCGCGCGAUUGGAGCGGCCGAUAUCAGAUUAGGUAGUUGGUGGGGUAAGAGCCCACCAAGCCAACGAUCUGUAGCUGGUCUGAGAGGACGACCAGCCACACUGGGACUGAGACACGGCCCAGACUCCUACGGGAGGCAGCAGUGGGGAAUUUUGGACAAUGGGCGCAAGCCUGAUCCAGCCAUGCCGCGUGCGGGAAGAAGGCCUUCGGGUUGUAAACCGCUUUUGUCAGGGAAGAAAAGGUUCUGGUUAAUACCUGGGACUCAUGACGGUACCUGAAGAAUAAGCACCGGCUAACUACGUGCCAGCCGCCGCCGUAA